UGGGGAAUUUUGGACAAUGGGCGAAAGCCUGAUCCAGCAAUGCCGCGUGUGUGAAGAAGGCCUUCGGGUUGUAAAGCACUUUUGUCCGGAAAGAAAUCCUUGGCUCUAAUACAGUCGGGGGAUGACGGUACCGGAAGAAUAAGCACCGGCUAACUACGUGCCAGCAGCCGCGGUAAUACGUAGGGUGCAAGCGUUAAUCGGAAUUACUGGGCGUAAAGCGUGCGCAGGCGGUUUGCUAAGACCGAUGUGAAAUCCCCGGGCUCAACCUGGGAACUGCAUUGGUGACUGGCAGGCUAGAGUAUGGCAGAGGGGGGUAGAAUUCCACGUGUAGCAGUGAAAUGCGUAGAGAUGUGGAGGAAUACCGAUGGCGAAGGCAGCCCCCUGGCCAAUACUGACGCUCAUGCACGAAAGCGUGGGGAGCAAACAGGAUUAGAUACCCUGGUAGUCCCACGCCCUAAACGAUGUCAACUAGUUGUUGGGGAUUCAUUUCCUUAGUAACGUAGCUAACGCGUGAAGUUGACCGCCUGGGGAGUACGGUCGCAAGAUUAAAACUCAAAUGAAUUGACGGGGUCAU
rnacentral:rRNA from 1 species